AAACCGGCUCUUUUCAGAGCCACCACAUGCAUAAAAGAAUUUAAACG
rnacentral:ncRNA from 1 species